rnacentral:misc_RNA from 1 species
CUAAUACCAUGAAGAGUGAGUUUGAGAUCAGCAUGAUGGGAGAACUAAGUUCUUCCUUGGGCUUCAAAUUAAGCAAGCUAAGGAUGGCAUCGUCAUCAACCAAGCCAAGUACACCAAAGAAUUGAUCAAGAGGUUUGGAAUGUAGAAUAGCAAGCCAAGUAGAACUCCAAUGAGCACAAACACCAAACUUGACAAGGAUGAAAAAGGAAAACCGAUUGAUGAAAAGCUCUAUAGAGAUAAGAGUAAGGAGAAAGCAGC